AAUAGAUACCCGGGUAGUCCAUGCCGUAAACGUUGGGCACUAGGUGUGGGACUCACUCAACGGGUUCCGUGCCGUAGCUAACGCAUUAAGUGCCCCGCCUGGGGAGUACGGCCGCAAGGCUAAAACUCAAAGGAAUUGACGGGGGGCCCGCACAAGCAGCGGAGCAUGUUGCUUAAUUCGAGGCAACGCGAAGAACCUUACCUGGGUUUGACAUGUACGGAAAAGCCGCAGAGAUGCGGUGUCCUUUUGGGCCGUACACAGGUGGUGCAUGGUUGUCGUCAGCUCGUGUCGUGAGAUGUUGGGUUAAGUCCCGCAACGAGCGCAACCCUUGUCCUAUGUUGCCAGCGGGUAAUGCCGGGGACUCGUAGGAGACUGCCGGGGACAACUCGGAGGAAGGUGGGGAUGACGUCAAAUCAUCAUGCCCCUUAUGUCCAGGGCUGCAAACAUGCUACAAUGGCCAGUACAAAGGGCUGCUAUACCGCGAGGUUGAGCGAAUCCCAUAAAGCUGGUCUCAGUUCGGAUUGGAGU
rnacentral:rRNA from 1 species